rfam:Tamana bat virus, complete genome
GUUAGGUUUGGGCAAGGUGCAGGUUAGCUGCAGGGGCUUGAAAAACCCCCCCCCCCAUUCAAGACUUUUAGUGCAUUAGU